GGAAGCAUCAUUCGUUCUUUCCACAACUUACUGGCGAGCCCGAGACCAAGCACUCCACGGAACCGGGGGUCAGUUAAGCCGCAAGCCAGCCCCACCCUCCACACCCCGCGAGUGCGGAGAUCGGCCCAGCGGACGUCGGGGCUCCAGGCCCACUGGGGGCCCGUCUCCGCCCUCGCACAGACGCAGCAACUCCGACGCCAACGUCCACUGACCUGGGUCGGGCCGGUCGGCGGCACCGCCAUCGUGGGCCCCGCGGGUCGAGCAAGGCGAAAAGAGGCGAGCGCCCGGGCGGCCUCGGCGUAAAAGACACCACGACUCGGGGCGCCGCCCUCGGCGACCGAGGGGAUGAGGGCGGCCGAGAGGCCGCGCGGCCCGGCAAGCGGCCAGGGGGCACACCCGCUGCAGGGAGUCGCGGCCCCUGCGAAGCGCGAAGGUGAAGCCUAGUCUCCUUCCCUGUUUGGUCCCCACGAAAGGCCUAAGGAGCGGCGCUGGCACAGCCCGCGGCGGGUCAAGGCCGUCCCAGGGCAGUCCCAGGGCAAACGGCUGAGGCAAAUGGCGGCGGCAGUGAAAACCCCGGAAGCCCCGCCCACGUACGUGAGCCGCAGGAAGCGCCCCUGUUCUUGGCAGGCAUUGGCCUCAGAUGCCUUCUGGGUAAUGUGGUUUCCCUCCUGUGAAUCCGACCGGGCAGGAUGGACUUAACCAGGCGUCUUCCUCCGAGGGGAAGGAGCACAAGCAAGCGAGCAACCGAUCUGCCUUUUUAAGUGGCCACAACUCAGAGGACCAAGGGGCAGGGGUGAAGCCUCCAUUCUGUGCCUGGGAAGUUGAGGCUCCGGAGACGGACAUUUGUCAGGGUGGAGGCAUAUGAAAAGGCGAAGAACUGGCCUUCUGCCCCAGCUGGCCUGGUGACUUCCUUUUUUCGCUGUUGCUCCAUGCGUGCAAAGGUCUUCGUUUUCUUCACUGCUCACUGCUGUAUCCCCUCCCCCAACUUCUAAAAAUGUCUAGCACAAAGCAGACACAUCAUAGACGUUUCGGAAAUGGAUGCAUAUGGCACAAAACCAAAAUGAUAGGACAAGAUUAGCAGUGAGAAGCUUUAUUCCUACCUAUUCCUUGAUUCGCAGGUA